UGCAGAGGACAAUGACACCAAUAAGAGUAUUAUUUGAACGAGUUUUAACAUCAGGAAGUUUGCCUCCCGACAAAUCAGGUGAGAUUUGGGCACGUUUCCUGGCCUUGGAAAGCAACAUUGGAGAUGUAGCUAGUAUACUGAAAGUGGGAAAAAGGAGACACACAGCAUUCAAGGAGGGGUAUGAAGGGAAGGAGACGGCACUCCAUGAGGAUAGAUACACAUUUAUGGACCUGUACCCCUGCUCCACAAGUGAACUGAAAGCUUUGGGAUACAAGGAUGUACCGAGAGCCAAACUGGCAGCACUAAUCCCAGACCCUGUGGUAGCUCCAUCCAUAGCCCCUUCGCUGAAAGACGAUGUUGAAAACCAGAGUAUCCCAAACCUGACACGUCCCAGAUGAUCCCUUUCCAGCCGCGACAUUUAGCUCCACCUGGACUCCAUCCUGUUCCUGGCGGAGUAUUCCCAGUCCCUCCAGCUGCAGUGAUCCUAAUGAAGCUGCUUCCUACCCCUAUUUACUUCCAGGAUCUUCCCUCACCCAUUUCUCCCACCCCUGAUUCCGACAAAUGAUGGCACUUAAUUUUAAUGAAACUGCUGAAUUGCAUCAAUAUGUCUCAGUAGGGCGGGCCUGAUACAUUCCAUUCAGGUAA